CUCUCUCUCUCUCUCUCUCUCUCUCUCUCUCUCGUUCAUCUCAGAGUCAGAAACCCUAGCCGCCGCUCAUCUCGUUCAUUUUUUCUCACCCUCGAUCUCUCUCUCUUCUCACCCUCUCUAUCUUGCAUCGUUAGAUACCUUGGAAUGACGAUGAUGAAAUGGUACGACUUGUGUAGGUUUUUUUCAGCUAAAGUCCAGUAACUUCACGUGUACGAGUUCAACAAGCGUGAUCGUGGAAGCCCUGCCUACCUACGAUUUACUAUUAAUAAAUGGAAACUAUGAUAUAGCAGCCCAAGAACAUUAUUGAAUACAUCUUGCAGAUAAGCUUGGACCAACCAUGGCUGGAAGAAUGCAUUGAUUGCAUGAAGCACACAUUAUGUAAUAUGUAUUGGUGACUCAAUGUAAUCCAUUUUUUAUAUGUAAUUUCAUAUAUUGUAAUUGUGUUUUGUAAUGUAAUAUGUAUAAAUA